UGCUUCUGUGGCUUGGGAACUCCGCUGUGGACAGGUAUGUGCGGCCGUAGGUGAGUAGCUUUCGCAGGUCUCGACUUCACACCUAGUAGUAUGGAGACGAGAUCAUCCACGAAGCACGAGGGUGAAUGUGCAAGUGGUUUUGCUGAUCAGAAUACUCAGCGAAGGUUGUGAUGUUUAUCCUGAUCUGAGCGCAAGGUAACUUGAAGCAGCAGCUGAUUCUGAAUUGUAUGCCUGGCUGGACGGGAUACGGCGGUGGCUAUCUACAUGUUGGCCUGUGUGCCAUUCGAACGCCCAAAGAAAACCCGCAUCAGAGGAAGGGCGGCUCAACAGUACAAGGAUCAGGCAAUGAGAUGGCUCGUAGAAGGAGCAAGUGCCAAGAACAGAGCAACUCACUCAACUUUUAGUAUGCUAGUCCCUGUAUAUAUGGUUAUAGUCAACAUGUACA